rnacentral:rRNA from 1 species
UACGGGGGGGGCAAGCGUUGUUCGGAAUUACUGGGCGUAAAGGGCUCGUAGGCGGCCAACUAAGUCAGACGUGAAAUCCCUCGGCUUAACCGGGGAACUGCGUCUGAUACUGGAUGGCUUGAGGUUGGGAGAGGGAUGCGGAAUUCCCGGUGUAGCGGUGAAAUGCGCAGAUAUCGGGAAGAACACCAGUAGCGAAGGCGGCACUCUGGGCCGGAACUGACGCUGAGGAGCGAAAGCGUGGGUAGCAAACAGG